UUAAGCGACUAAGCGUACACGGUGGAUGCCCUGGCAGUCAGAGGCGAUGAAGGACGUGCUAAUCUGCGAUAAGCGUCGGUAAGGUGAUAUGAACCGUUAUAACCGGCGAUUUCCGAAUGGGGAAACCCAGUGUGUUUCGACACACUAUCAUUAACUGAAUCCAUAGGUUAAUGAGGCGAACCGGGGGAACUGAAACAUCUAAGUACCCCGAGGAAAAGAAAUCAACCGAGAUUCCCCCAGUAGCGGCGAGCGAACGGGGAGCAGCCCAGAGCCUGAAUCAGUGUGUGUGUUAGUGGAAGCGUCUGGAAAGGCGCGCGAUACAGGGUGACAGCCCCGUACACAAAAAUGCACAUGCUGUGAGCUCGAUGAGUAGGGCGGGACACGUGGUAUCCUGUCUGAAUAUGGGGGGACCAUCCUCCAAGGCUAAAUACUCCUGACUGACCGAUAGUGAACCAGUACCGUGAGGGAAAGGCGAAAAGAACCCCGGCGAGGGGAGUGAAAAAGAACCUGAAACCGUGUACGUACAAGCAGUGGGAGCACGCUUCGGCGUGUGACUGCGUACCUUUUGUAUAAUGGGUCAGCGACUUAUAUUCUGUAGCAAGGUUAACCGAAUAGGGGAGCCGAAGGGAAACCGAGUCUUAACUGGGCGUUAAGUUGCAGGGUAUAGACCCGAAACCCGGUGAUCUAGCCAUGGGCAGGUUGAAGGUUGGGUAACACUAACUGGAGGACCGAACCGACUAAUGUUGAAAAAUUAGCGGAUGACUUGUGGCUGGGGGUGAAAGGCCAAUCAAACCGGGAGAUAGCUGGUUCUCCCCGAAAGCUAUUUAGGUAGCGCCUCGUGAAUUCAUCUCCGGGGGUAGAGCACUGUUUCGGCAAGGGGGUCAUCCCGACUUACCAACCCGAUGCAAACUGCGAAUACCGGAGAAUGUUAUCACGGGAGACACACGGCGGGUGCUAACGUCCGUCGUGAAGAGGGAAACAACCCAGACCGCCAGCUAAGGUCCCAAAGUCAUGGUUAAGUGGGAAACGAUGUGGGAAGGCCCAGACAGCCAGGAUGUUGGCUUAGAAGCAGCCAUCAUUUAAAGAAAGCGUAAUAGCUCACUGGUCGAGUCGGCCUGCGCGGAAGAUGUAACGGGGCUAAACCAUGCACCGAAGCUGCGGCAGCGACGCUGAUGCGUUGUUGGGUAGGGGAGCGUUCUGUAAGCCUGCGAAGGUGUGCUGUGAGGCAUGCUGGAGGUAUCAGAAGUGCGAAUGCUGACAUAAGUAACGAUAAAGCGGGUGAAAAGCCCGCUCGCCGGAAGACCAAGGGUUCCUGUCCAACGUUAAUCGGGGCAGGGUGAGUCGACCCCUAAGGCGAGGCCGAAAGGCGUAGUCGAUGGGAAACAGGUUAAUAUUCCUGUACUUGGUGUUACUGCGAAGGGGGGACGGAGAAGGCUAUGUUGGCCGGGCGACGGUUGUCCCGGUUUAAGCGUGUAGGCUGGUUUUCCAGGCAAAUCCGGAAAAUCAAGGCUGAGGCGUGAUGACGAGGCACUACGGUGCUGAAGCAACAAAUGCCCUGCUUCCAGGAAAAGCCUCUAAGCAUCAGGUAACAUCAAAUCGUACCCCAAACCGACACAGGUGGUCAGGUAGAGAAUACCAAGGCGCUUGAGAGAACUCGGGUGAAGGAACUAGGCAAAAUGGUGCCGUAACUUCGGGAGAAGGCACGCUGAUAUGUAGGUGAAGUCCCUUGCGGAUGGAGCUGAAAUCAGUCGAAGAUACCAGCUGGCUGCAACUGUUUAUUAAAAACACAGCACUGUGCAAACACGAAAGUGGACGUAUACGGUGUGACGCCUGCCCGGUGCCGGAAGGUUAAUUGAUGGGGUCAGCGCAAGCGAAGCUCUUGAUCGAAGCCCCGGUAAACGGCGGCCGUAACUAUAACGGUCCUAAGGUAGCGAAAUUCCUUGUCGGGUAAGUUCCGACCUGCACGAAUGGCGUAAUGAUGGCCAGGCUGUCUCCACCCGAGACUCAGUGAAAUUGAACUCGCUGUGAAGAUGCAGUGUACCCGCGGCAAGACGGAAAGACCCCGUGAACCUUUACUAUAGCUUGACACUGAACAUUGAGCCUUGAUGUGUAGGAUAGGUGGGAGGCUUAGAAGUGUGGACGCCAGUCUGCAUGGAGCCGACCUUGAAAUACCACCCUUUAAUGUUUGAUGUUCUAACGUUGACCCGUAAUCCGGGUUGCGGACAGUGUCUGGUGGGUAGUUUGACUGGGGCGGUCUCCUCCUAAAGAGUAACGGAGGAGCACGAAGGUUGGCUAAUCCUGGUCGGACAUCAGGAGGUUAGUGCAAUGGCAUAAGCCAGCUUGACUGCGAGCGUGACGGCGCGAGCAGGUGCGAAAGCAGGUCAUAGUGAUCCGGUGGUUCUGAAUGGAAGGGCCAUCGCUCAACGGAUAAAAGGUACUCCGGGGAUAACAGGCUGAUACCGCCCAAGAGUUCAUAUCGACGGCGGUGUUUGGCACCUCGAUGUCGGCUCAUCACAUCCUGGGGCUGAAGUAGGUCCCAAGGGUAUGGCUGUUCGCCAUUUAAAGUGGUACGCGAGCUGGGUUUAGAACGUCGUGAGACAGUUCGGUCCCUAUCUGCCGUGGGCGCUGGAGAACUGAGGGGGGCUGCUCCUAGUACGAGAGGACCGGAGUGGACGCAUCACUGGUGUUCGGGUUGUCAUGCCAAUGGCACUGCCCGGUAGCUAAAUGCGGAAGAGAUAAGUGCUGAAAGCAUCUAAGCACGAAACUUGCCCCGAGAUGAGUUCUCCCUGACUCCUUGAGAGUCCUGAAGGAACGUUGAAGACGACGACGUUGAUAGGCCGGGUGUGUAAGCGCAGCGAUGCGUUGAGCUAACCGGUACUAAUGAACCGUGAGGCUUAACCUU
rnacentral:rRNA from 1 species